rnacentral:rRNA from 1 species
GACGAACGCUGGCGGCGUGCUUAACACAUGCAAGUCGAACGGAAAGGCCCUGCUUUUGUGGGGUGCUCGAGUGGCGAACGGGUGAGUAACACGUGAGUAACCUGCCCUUGACUUUGGGAUAACUUCAGGAAACUGGGGCUAAUACCGGAUAGGAGCUCCUGCUGCAUGGUGGGGGUUGGAAAGUUUCGGCGGUUGGGGAUGGACUCGCGGCUUAUCAGCUUGUUGGUGGGGUAGUGGCUUACCAAGGCUUUGACGGGUAGCCGGCCUGCGAGGGUGACCGGCCACAUUGGGACUGGGAAACGGCCCAGACUCCUACGGGAGGCAGCAGUGGGGAAUAUUGCACAAUGGGCGGAAGCCUGAUGCAGCAACGCCGCGUGCGGGAUGACGGCCUUCGGGUUGUAAACCGCUUUCGCCUGUGACGAAGCGUGAGUGACGGUAAUGGGUAAAGAAGCACCGGCUAACUACGUG